CCCAAGUUGGUUUGCUCAUGGUGUUUCAUCACAGCCAUGGUAACCCUAACUGAGGCAGGCCGUGUCACUCCUGAAGGAAAUAGAUCCACCACAAAACUCCACUACUCCUCUGGCUCAUACAUUCUCUCCACUCAUUCUUCCAAAAUGGUCUCUUAAUAACAUUAAAUGCUGAAUCACAACUGCAUUUCACAUUCACUUGGAGGGUGUGACAGUAGAUUCUCAGAGUUUUCUUUCUUUUGUUUAAGGCACAAGAGAUUUAGCCUUUUUUGUAAAGUAUCUCUAUAGCUAUGACAUUGAUUCACAUCUGAAACACAGGAAUAAACUGUGGCCAGGAGCCCCCACCAAGACCAGGAGAGUGACCAGGAGCCCCCACCAAGACCAGGAGAGUGACCAGGAGCCCCCACCAAGACCAGGAGAG
rnacentral:lncRNA from 1 species